GCAUUUAUCUUUGAGCACUAAAUAAACGUUCACUUUGAGCACUUUUCUCGAUUCUGACGGUUUGGCGGUCAGGCCACAUGCCGGUAGUUUGUUCUACUCUACACCACUGCUGCCUAUAGUAAAGAUACAAGGGUGAAGUUUGAAUCUUUUCCUAUCAUUACAUAAGCGAAACCAAUUCUAUAAUUUUUUCGACUAUAAUGUGUCAGUAGUUUUUCAACUAUAACCGCCGAUCCAGUAAUUUGUGCAACUAAAGAGUGUUAGCGUAGUUUUUGCGUCUAUUGACCGUUAGCGCCUCCAAAUCGGAAUUUGAAAGACGCGGGAAACGUGUAUCACAGCCGGAUAGCCGAAGGACAAUUGACAGCUGAGAAUACCGAUGUGGAAAUGGACGCCUCAAAUUCCUGAAAUCUUUUUUUUUUUUUGUAAAUCCUUUUAUUUGUUAUAUGCCCAAUUUAUAGCCCCUAACCCGCUCGGCAGUAAUAAAAACAAGGUCCCCGGAAAUAAAAAGUUGGACGAGGCGCUAUGGCCAGCUCUGGGAUGUCCCGACUUCUGGUCUUAACCACCACGAUCUGCAUUUUCCAUGUUCAAUAGUUGAUCAGAGAAAUGCAAGACAUGAUCUUCCUCCCAGGUGAACUCAAAACAAGCCAGUUAGACCUGAAAAUAGCAAGGAAGACAGGCCUGGAAGAUUGUAUCAGGUUCAACACAAUUUAGGCAGAAAUAUCACAAUUGUUUCUACUGUACUGUCACUUAAGCAAAAUUGCUUUAUAAAGCAGCCAAACAAAAUAUUUAAAUAAAACCUUUAUUUCUAAUAAAUAUAUGUGAAAAUUGAAAAGUUGUUAUUUGCACUUUUAGCAGCUUCAGUUCAGGUCAUGAAGAUAUGAACUUUCUUAAAGGCAAAAGUUUAAACCAUUUCUGAUGGACAAAACCAACGAGAGUUCACUCAUCACCAUCAACCUUUGAACACAGUUUGCAUAAUUAUCAAAAUCCCGUCUUGAAUGGCAGGUCAAACUUCUUGUUUCUAUUGAUUAAAAUUAGAUGUAAUGUAUUUUAUUAUUCAAUUCACUAGUUU